UACCAGCACCCCGAGUGGUCGGGACGUUUUAUUGGGCCUAAAGCAUCCGUAGCCGGUUCUACAAGUCUUCCGUUAAAUCCAACUGCUUAACAGGUGGGCUGCGGAAGAUACUAUAGAGCUAGGAGGCGGGAGAGGCAAGCGGUACUCGAUGGGUAGGGGUAAAAUCCGUUGAUCCAUUGAAGACCACCAGUGGCGAAGGCGGCUUGCCAGAACGCGCUCGACGGUGAGGGAUGAAAGCUUGGGGGAGCAAACCGG
rnacentral:rRNA from 1 species